rnacentral:rRNA from 1 species
GGCGUGCGGCGUCUAAUACAUGCAAGUCGAGCGGACAGAUGGGAGCUUGCUCCCUGAUGUUAGCGGCGGACGGGUGAGUAACACGUGGGUAACCUGCCUGUAAGACUGGGAUAACUCCGGGAAACCGGGGCUAAUACCGGAUGGUUGUUUGAACCGCAUGGUUCAAACAUAAAAGGUGGCUUCGGCUACCACUUACAGAUGGACCCGCGGCGCAUUAGCUAGUUGGUGAGGUAACGGCUCACCAAGGCAACGAUGCGUAGCCGACCUGAGAGGGUGAUCGGCCACACUGGGACUGAGACACGGCCCAGACUCCUACGGGAGGCAGCAGUAGGGAAUCUUCCGCAAUGGACGAAAGUCUGACGGAGCAACGCCGCGUGAGUGAUGAAGGUUUUCGGAUCGUAAAGCUCUGUUGUUAGGGAAGAACAAGUACCGUUCGAAUAGGGCGGUACCUUGACGGUACCUAACCAGAAAGCCACGGCUAACUACGUGCCAGCAGCCGCGGUAAUACGUAGGUGGCAAGCGUUGUCCGGAAUUAUUGGGCGUAAAGGGCUCGCAGGCGGUUUCUUAAGUCUGAUGUGAAAGCCCCCGGCUCAACCGGGGAGGGUCAUUGGAAACUGGGGAACUUGAGUGCAGAAGAGGAGAGUGGAAUUCCACGUGUAGCGGUGAAAUGCGUAGAGAUGUGGAGGAACACCAGUGGCGAAGGCGACUCUCUGGUCUGUAACUGACGCUGAGGAGCGAAAGACUGCCCUCC